rnacentral:lncRNA from 1 species
CUUCCUGAAUGAGGGACCCCUCGCUUUUGAGAAGAGUCCAACUUUUAAGUUCUGGUCAUGGCCUGGUCCUUUGGUUCUGUAGGGAGGAGAAUCUUUGGUUCUGCAGUCAUUUCUAGUCAAUAUUUCUUCUUCGGUGCAUGCUCUGGGCACAUGGCUUUGCAAACUUUCUGAAGGGAAAUUCUUAAUCACCCUGUUGAUAAGAUGGGGUCAGUUGAACUGGUCCCGGAGGGCCCAUAGUUACAUGCUGAGUGAACAGUUAGAUGUAGAAAUGAGGGAUAGGAAGAAAGUUAGAAAUCCAACUGAGUCUCUAGCUUGAAGAUCUGAAAUAGGGAAUGUGGGCAGGAGCAGAUACUUAUGGAGAAAUUGACACUUUUUGAGCUCCUACUAUGUGCCAGAGUUUGCUAGACACUUAGCAUAACUGUUGGCAUUUAGGCAGUCAAGAAAUAGCAUUCUUAUUUUUCUCCCCAACUUGGAAACCAUUGAAGGAUACAACACAAGAGUUAGUCACAUGGAGAUCAAAAUCUCUGGCCAGGGAUUUUACUAGGUGAAGAUUCCUUUGUCAGCUGCUCUUGGAGCCUGUACUCCAGCACCAGCUCCACUGAAGUUUAUUAUAGGAAACACUGGCAUUUGUCAUUUUUCCAAUAUUUGGAGCUUGCUGCCUUAAUAAAUGCACAUAUCAGAUGAUGCUCUCUCCCUGUCUGAUGGGCGGAUGCUGUUGGGCAGAAGAAGGUCACAGUGAUGUUAAAUUUGCUGCUGAGCAAAGGAUCAAAGUGUAAAUGGAAUCCUGAAAGCUGGGAAAUGAUUCCAAAGCACAGAGGCAACAAUCCUAAACACUUGAGGUCUUUGGACGGAAGUGGUGCUUCAGAACUUUCAAGAACCAUGGCUCUGCUGCCCUGGUAGGAACUUUAUAUUGAGAAGACACAAAGCAUCUGUUACAUAAACAGGGUGAAUAGCUACAGGGUUCCCAGAUUGUGAAGGAAGCAGCGAACCCGCUUCCUCCUCACUAGCCAGCGUAACUGACAGCACUUAGCUCCCUGCAUCCUUGCUGCCUCGGUUCUGAAGGGAAGCAUUGUGGUGCGGCCUUCCUGACACUGAGGUGCUGACAACAGGCAGACCUAGGCAAGGAGUGUCAUCAGGAAGAGAGCAGAGGAAGGAAGCCUGGUGCUGUGAGAAUGAAGAUAAUAAAGGCAA